AUAUCCUGGAACUCAUGAUGUUAGAUACAAGAGUCCUGAACUUGAAUGUUCCUGAAUGAGGGACACCUUUUGAAUGUGCCAGGAAAAAGGCAGCUGCUUGUGGUAUGACUGGACAGGAGAGAUUUCUAAUCUUAAUACAAUUUAUGAAUCAUGGUCAAUGCUACUCUGAGUCAAAAGACUUUACACGAGAGUUUGUGCUGCGUACAGCCUGCAUAUUCUUUACUUGAAAAAUCACUGUAUGGCAAAAACCUGACAUACUUUCUAGAUCAAAUACAGGAUUCAUAAAAGCUGGUAUUCUCUAUCAGCUUUAGAAGACACCUUCAAAAGUCAAGGAUGUGAUCUUUUACCAGUCUCUUCCUGAAGAAUGUUUCAACUAUAAAUUGUGUAAGCCUUUUAACUCUACUUGUAAUUCUGAUGGAA